UGUGUCGUCGGCGCAAUCUCUGUGCGCGCCGCGGUGUUGGCAGGGCAAUCCCAGUGUGCGGUUUGAUUUCUUUAAAAAAAAUAAAAAAGCCCAAUCGCCAUUAACGCACCAGUCCAAUCUCUUCCGGUUCAAGGGCCUAUGGAUUUUGUCAAGUGGAAUGCUUCUGUUUUAGACUCGGUCGUUGGAGUCAUGUCCAAGAUUAUCCACAUAUAUACCAGGGUAUAUAGGGAGGAGCAUGCUUAAUAACAUGAAUUAGGUCAAAGUUAAUGCCUUUGAUGUGAGGAUAUUGUGACAUGAUAAUGCGAAGAGUGUGGCCAAGACCUCCACCAACAUCAACAAGAUGUUGGAUGUUCCUAAAACCCAUCGUAUUUUUGGAGGAUUUUGUUGAUAAUAUAAGUCGACUGAUCAUGCAUCGCCUUGUUGAAAUAUCAUUGAACCUUGGAUCUACACUUGGAUACUCAAAUGCAUGCAUUCCAUGUACCAUGUUGAACGGGAUCCCUCCUUCUAACACCGCCUUUUUCAACUUGCUCCUAUAUAGGAAUACAACCAAUUUAAAUAAUUAUAAGAAAAAAAAACCUUGUUUACAUAGAAUUGUAGGGAGAUAUAGAGACGGGCGGAAAAAAAUCAAACACCAAAAACCCAGCCUUAAACGCAUCAGAAUCACCUCAGUUAAAACUUCUAGGAAGGGUCCAAUGAGAGACUCUUCAUAUGCCACCAAGAUUACACAUUCUAAUGACUUGGGAUCAACAUCCCAAUUACAAGCAACCCAAAAAAUAAUCUAGGAUUGGGGCAAACACCUUUAAACACUCUUCUGCAAACAGACGCAGCAGCCUGCACUUUGGCUUCAAAAUCCAUAGGACUUCUAUUCGACUGUAGCAUCUGCAAGACGUUUGCCAUCUGGUUUAAUUUCAUAUACGUUGUUUGCACAAUAAUAUAUAAGAAUGAGAUAUUUGUGGUGGUUCUGUCAAGCUAGACCUUAUCAUUUAAUUAGAUAAAUUAAAGUAGUUUGUAGAAAGAUAUUUGUUUACUUUUAUCCCCAUUCGAUUUUUUCAUUUAUGAAGUAUUUAAUAUAGAAUAAAAUAAAAUUGUGACUGUACAAUCUUAUGUGGUGCUCCAAAAUCUCUGAAAAAAAACUCUCCUUUAUAUGUAUUAGAUGAGUGGCAAAAUAAUUUUACUAA